rnacentral:lncRNA from 1 species
UUUUUUUUUCGUUUGAUAUGUCAUGAUGACUUUUGUUCUUGUAGUUCCAGGAAUGGCCAGGAGUAGAGGAAUCACAUGUGGCAGACCAGGCCUUUAUACCCGCUCACGGCUCACACCGGUAUGCGAUGUUUGAUACCCAUCAUGACCAGUGAUAACUUCUGUUGACAUGUGCUCAGCUGCUAAAUUACGGAGCUUGUGAACGUCUCUUUCCAUUUCGAAAUAAGAUGAUAGGAAAUUGAUGUUUACCGUCAUAAUCGUACCAAGCUGUUGGAACCCCGACUGCUUAAAGGUUAAAAUUGGGCCUGAAUUUAAGAUCCUCCUUUCAUUCCGUGCACUGAUGGUGUGUUCCUUUUGUUUCAGCAAUGCGGACGAAUUCGAACAUCAAAAGGUUAAAUUUGAGCAAUACAGACUUUCCUGUACUGGACUAAACAAGAUGGUGGCAAGUGGCAAGUGGCAACCAGUGAUCUAAGUAUUCAGUGUGGCAAAGUUGGUGUAGUGUUUCUGAGUAGCAACGCAGAUCUGUCAUAUUGCUCCAUGUGGACCAAUGGACCAUGUAUGUUAAGUUUGCUAGUAGACAUUUGGCUUAUACUCCCUCCGUUUCUAAAUAUAAGUCUUUUUAGAGAUUUCAUUAUGGACUACAUUCGGAGCAAAAUGAGUGAAUCUCCACUCUAAAAUAUGUCUAGAUACAUCCGUAUAUAGUUUGUAGAGAAAUCUGUAGAAAGACUUAUAUUUAGGAACGGAGGGAGUACGGAUUAUUAUAAAAAUAUCAACCUUUUUUCAAACUUGAGUUUCCUAUGUAUGUUGGCACAUUUUCACUCAUGGUAUGCUGUGCAUCAUGAAAUGGUUCUCAACAAUUUGAACAAUUGUAAAACACACAUAUGUGAAGAGAGAAGACAAUAGUUAUACAAGAUUGGGUUCAGUUUCUUAAAUACAAGAGAUCGAGCUUCCAUUUCUCCAUGAUCCUAUCAGCUCCUACACCAAGCCCACGCAGAUCGACACCACAAGCCCUCAAUCCUCCGCUGCCCAUCUGCCAAAGCAAACAAGAACGCAAGAUACAUUAAUCUUCCACCAUUGAUUGAUUGAGC